rnacentral:lncRNA from 1 species
CCAGAAUGUGUGCACCCAACUUCCUCUGCUCUCAAGACCUCACACGCUAGGCCACUAUGUCCUGCUCUAUUCACCCCAAGGCCAAGUGCCAGAUGGCUAGGAAUAGCUCCAAUGUCCCAGAGUGCCCUGACAUUACUCCAACUCACCAAUCCUAAAUCAGCUUGCCUUGCCUGUUCCUUUGCAAGGAAACCACUGUAAAGGCUCCUGCACACCUUUUCCCCUCAGUCCCCCUGCUUCCUGACUAACCCUAAUGCUGCCCUGCGUGGGUCCCUGUGGUGUGAUGUCCCCCUCUUCUUGGGAAACGUGAGUAACUACCUUUCCGAUGGCAAUCGUCUCCUGGCCCGUGAGCCUCAUCCUAACUGAAUAAUAACAAAGCCUGUAUUUAAAAACCCUACCUCCCAAGGUUUGUGAGAUAAAGCUGCUCAUGUGCCACUAGGCGAGAUGGGCCUGCACGAUUUGGCGGUUCAAUCAAUGCUGGAAAAGACUCAUUUACCGAUGUUAAGAUCUGAGGGCAUGAGGGUGACUAAGGCUGCCACACGUUGGGCCAAUGGUCGACACCCAGUCUUUCCUUGCAAACCUCCAGAGAAGCAGAUUCUGGGAGAAAUGUGCAUGAUCAUUUUUCAUCUCACUCAUUCUACGGACAUCCAUGAAGCACCUGUGACCUGCAAAAGUGGUGAGCAAAUCAGAUUAAGGAUUCACGGUGACAAUAUGAAACUUCUGCUAGAAGCAGCAUCUUUUGAACAGCCAGCCAGAGUGGGGGAACAGCCACUUCUGAAGAGCCGGAAGGGAAAUCUCACCUGUGAGCCAGCUCCUGACAGGCUGCUCGGUCUGAAAGCAGCACAGAAUUGCACUGUCAACUUGCACAGAAGGAGCCCUGAAUACUAGGAACCAAAUGCCUGGGGGCCCCCCUUGACCUGCAUCCCUGGGGUUGAUUCUGACUGCUUCCACCUUGAGUCCUAAGAGUGUAUUUCCCUCUCGAAGAGGGAGGCUGGCCUACCAGCAGAGCAGGGCCCGAGGGAUACAGCUGGAGGAAAUGCCUGCAGUGGCUCAGAACGAGAAAGCCAGGACUUCGGAAAAUCUUCAUAACCAACACAUUUUGAAACAGGGAAGCUUCACGCACAUCGAGCUCAAGUUAUUUGAAGGAAAAAAAAAAAAAAAGUGCUGAUACCGAGCCACUUAAGCAAUACUUGACGGCCCCAUGCUUGAUUGAAAAAUAAAAUAUGGUGUCUCCCGUGGGCA